AUUGAACGCUGGCGGCAGGCCUAACACAUGCAAGUCGAACGAGUGGCGGAAGUGAUACUUAUGACUGGGACUCUGCGUGAUGGCGGGGGAUAUCUACCGGAAACUGUUACUACUACCGCAUACCAUCGGCUGUGCCCAGAUGGGAUUAGCGUGUUGGGGGGGUAAAGGCAAACCAAGGCGCCGAUCCCUAGCUGGUCUGAGAGGAUGCCAAGUCAAACGGGAACUGAGACACGGUCCAGACUCCUACGGGAGGCAGCAGUGGGGAAGAUUGCACAAUGGGCGCAAGCCUGAUGCAGCCAUGCCGCGUGUAUGAAGAAGGCCUUCGGGUUGUAAAGUACGUUCAGCGGGGAGGCGUUACCCGCAGAAGAAGCACCGGCUAACUCCGUGCCAGCAGCCGCGGUAAUUC
rnacentral:rRNA from 1 species